UUGGACCGCAUGGUUCUAAAGUAAAAGAUGGUUUUGCUAUCACUUAUAGAUGGACCCGCGCCGUAUUAGCUAGUUGGUAAGGUAACGGCUUACCAAGGCAACGAUACGUAGCCGACCUGAGAGGGUGAUCGGCCACACUGGAACUGAGACACGGUCCAGACUCCUACGGGAGGCAGCAGUAGGGAAUCUUCCGCAAUGGACGAAAGUCUGACGGAGCAACGCCGCGUGAGUGAUGAAGGUUUUCGGAUCGUAAAACUCUGUUAUUAGGGAAGAACAAAUGUGUAAGUAACUGUGCACAUCUUGACGGUACCUAAUCAGAAAGCCACGGCUAACUACGUGCCAGCAGCCGCGGUAAUACGUAGGUGGCAAGCGUUAUCUGGAAUUAUUGGGCGUAAAGCGCGCGUAGGCGGUUUCUUAAGUCUGAUGUGAAAGCCCACGGCUCAACCGUGGAGGGUCAUUGGAAACUGGGAAACUUGAGUACAGAAGAGGAAAGUGGAAUUCCAUGUGUAGCGGUGAAAUGCGCAGAGAUAUGGAGGAACACCAGUGGCGAAGGCGACUUUCUGGUCUGUAACUGACGCUGAUGUGCGAAAGCGUGGGGAUCAAACAGGAUUAGAUACCCUGGUAGUCCACGCCGUAAACGAUGAGUGCUAAGUGUUAGGGGGUUUCCGCCCCUUAGUGCUGCAGCUAACGCAUUAAGCACUCCGCCUGGGGAGUACGACCGCAAGGUUGAAACUCAAAGG
rnacentral:rRNA from 1 species